GAUGAACGCUGGCGGCGUGCCUAAUACAUGCAAGUCGAGCGAACGGACGAGAAGCUUGCUUCUCUGAUGUUAGCGGCGGACGGGUGAGUAACACGUGGAUAACCUACCUAUAAGACUGGGAUAACUUCGGGAAACCGGAGCUAAUACCGGAUAAUAUUUUGAACCGCAUGGUUCAAAAGUGAAAGACGGUCUUGCUGUCACUUAUAGAUGGAUCCGCGCUGCAUUAGCUAGUUGGUAAGGUAACGGCUUACCAAGGCAACGAUGCAUAGCCGACCUGAGAGGGUGAUCGGCCACACUGGGUCUGAGACACGGUCCAGACUCCUACGGGAGGCAGCAGUAGGGAAUCUUCCGCAAUGGGCGAAAGCCUGACGGAGCAGCGCCGCGUGAGUGAUGAAGGUCUUCGGAUCGUAAAACUCUGUUAUUAGGGAAGAACAUAUGUGUAAGUAACUGUGCACAUCUUGACGGUACCUAAUCAGAAAGCCACGGCUAACUACGUG
rnacentral:rRNA from 1 species